GGCCGGGCACAGCGUCGGCGCCAGUAAGCGGGGCCUUCCCUGGGCCUGAGAAGGUGGAUUCCUGAACUUUUUGGAAUUCCUGACACGGAGCUCCCCUCCCUGAAACUGCCCAGAGAUCUCAUUGCUGAUGCGGCCCGUCGCGGAGCCCCUGCCCGGCAGGGAGAGCUUCUCAGCCUUCCCCAGGCCCCGUCUUCGGUCCUGGGCCACCAGCGGGGCCGGGCUUGGCCCGUAGGCCCUGACCCUUGGCCGGCGAGCCCCCGUCCUUGACUCGACUCUAGACCAGAGUGGGAGGAAGGCGCUUUCAAGCUACCUUUAACAAGGCGGUGAGAGGAAGACCUUCUCCCAGCUAUUUUCACAUUUCCAGGCCCCCUUCGUAGGCCUCCUUGGUGUGGUCCGGCUCUCUGGGAAGGGAGGGAAGAAGGAGGAAGGGCACCCUACCUCUCUGGAGAGCAGAUCUCUCUUGCUGGGGCUCUCCGGGAGGGCCUGUCUAGAAAAUACAGGGAGCGAUGAUGGACUAUUGGUCGGUUAUCCUUCGAAGGCUCCAAGGCGGAACGCUCGCUCGGCUCUAUCUCCCCAGAGGCCAGGUCCAUGCUGGCUCGCCAAUUCUCCUCUGGAGCCCUGAUCGUCCUGGGAAGCCCAGCCUAGGCCCAUGCCUGACUCACCCAAAUCACCCCAAUGUCUGGAUCAAUGGAUCCUCCAAUGUGUAGGCGGCCUGCUGAGAUACAAAGACAAAAAGGAAAAUGUUCCCUCUGGAAGGGAAAGGCGGGAGGCUGGGGAGGACUCAUGUACCUACAGAAGGGCAUGCAGUGCCUCAACUGUAAAAAGAAGGAACCAAAAUGAACAUCAGCUGUGUGUUUCUGACUGUGGAAAUGGAGCAGGAUCUCAGCUCUAUUCCCCAACCCAGGCUCAAGCCUACCCCAGAAUAAAAAGGUAAGAGAGCUCAGACCAAGCAGGAGUCUGCAGUCUUUUCUCUCUGAAUUAAAACCUUGCUAACUAUUUCCAGGGUUGGCUAGAGUAGAAUGGAACUCCCACCAAGGGCAAGCCUAAAGUUGUAUGCCAUAGACCCAAAUCCAGCUUGUAAAGCUCACACCAGAAAGGCAGUGAGCAGACUUCACCCUGGAGUGAAUGUACCUUUGAAUAUAUCAACAGCUUUCAUAUCCCCAAUGUGAAUUGCCCCUGAAAUCCUUGAAAAAUAUAGCACUUGAGGACAGCUAGGUGACUUAGAAAUGGGAGGUCCUGGGUUCAAAUUUGACCUCAGACACUUCCUAGUUGUAUGUCCUAGACAAAUUACUUAACCCCCCUUGCCUAGCCCUUAUUGCUAUUCUGCCUUGGAACCAAUACAUAGUCUUGGUUCUAAGACAAAAGGUAAGGAUUUUUAAAAAAAGAAAAAAAGAAAAACAUAGUACUUAGUACCUGGAGAAAGCAGCAUUAAGAUCCCAGAUAGUGUAAAACAGGACAAAGCAGAGACCUAAUAAUCUCUCUAGAAGCAGAGAACACCAGGCUUAAUGCAAAGUUUGAAUUUGGGGAGUAAAGCUAAAAGAAUGAGUAAAUAAAAAGAGAAUCCAUUAUGAAGAACUCUUAUGU
ensembl:lncRNA